ACAUUGGUGGUUUAGUGGUACAAUUCUCACCUGCCAUGCUAGAGGUUGGGGUUUGAAUCCCAACCAAUGCA
rnacentral:tRNA from 1 species